rnacentral:lncRNA from 1 species
GAGGUGGCGCCGUGGAGCCGCGCAGGGGCCCGGACUACUCUCUGAGGGUGCUGCGGCCGCCAGGCUCCGUGGGUUUUGGUUCAGGCGCCCAGUGUGCCCAAGGAUGUUGUAGAACUCUGUCUAGCCACAGUGUGGGGAUGGGGAGCUCCCGCCUACAGACUCUGUUGCUUUCUGGCUUG